rnacentral:rRNA from 1 species
AGUGGCGGACGGGUGAGUAACGCGUGGGAAUCUAGCUUCAGGACGGGGACAACAGCUGGAAACGGCUGCUAAUACCCCAUAUGUCUACGGAUGAAACGGUGAAUUCCGCCUGAAGAUGAGCUCGCGUCGGAUUAGCUAGUUGGUGAGGUAAAGGCUCACCAAGGCGACGAUCCGUAGCUGGUCUGAGAGGAUGAUCAGCCACACUGGGACUGAGACACGGCCCAGACUCCUACGGGAGGCAGCAGUGGGGAAUUUUCCGCAAUGGGCGAAAGCCUGACGGAGCAACGCCGCGUGCGGGAAGACGGCCUGUGGGUUGUAAACCGCUUUUCUCUGGGAAGAAUAAGUUGACGGUACCAGAGGAAUCAGCAUCGGCUAACUCCGUGCCAGCAGCCGCGGUAAUACGGAGGAUGCAAGCGUUAUCCGGAAUUAUUGGGCGUAAAGCGUCCGCAGGCGGCUUAUCAAGUCUGCUGUUAAAGGUCGGGGCUCAACUCCGGCUAGGCAGUGGAAACUGAUAGGCUAGAGUGUGGUAGGGGUAGAGGGAAUUCCCAGUGUAGCGGUGAAAUGCGUAGAUAUUGGGAAGAACACCAGUGGCGAAGGCGCUCUACUGGGCCACAACUGACGCUGAGGGACGAAAGCUAGGGGAGCGAAAGGGAUUAGACACCCCUGUAGUCCUAGCUGUAAACGAUGGACACUAGGUGUU